GAUGAACGCUAGCUACAGGCUUAACACAUGCAAGUCGAGGGGAAACGACAUCGAAAGCUUGCUUUUGAUGGGCGUCGACCGGCGCACGGGUGAGUAACGCGUAUCCAACCUGCCCAUCACUUGGGAAUAACCUUGCGAAAGUAAGACUAAUACCCAAUGACAUCCCACGAAGACAUCUGAAUGGGAUUAAAGAUUUAUCGGUGAUGGAUGGGGAUGCGUCUGAUUAGCUUGUUGGCGGGGUAACGGCCCACCAAGGCAACGAUCAGUAGGGGUUCUGAGAGGAAGGUCCCCCACAUUGGAACUGAGACACGGUCCAAACUCCUACGGGAGGCAGCAGUGAGGAAUAUUGGUCAAUGGGCGAGAGCCUGAACCAGCCAAGUAGCGUGCAGGAGGACGGCCCUAUGGGUUGUAAACUGCUUUUAGAAGGGAAUAAAGUGGGUCUCGUGAGACUUUUUGCAUGUACCUGAUGAAUAAGGACCGGCUAAUUCCGUG
rnacentral:rRNA from 1 species